rnacentral:rRNA from 1 species
GCAGUCUGAACCAGCCAUGCCGCGUGGAGGAUUAAGGCCCUCUGGGUUGUAAACUCCUUUUAUCUGGGAAGAAAUGUACUUUUUCUUGAGUACUUGACGGUACCAGAGGAAUAAGCACCGGCUAACUCCAUGCCAGCAGCCGCGGUAAU